rnacentral:lncRNA from 1 species
CAUAUUUGACUUGGAUAAAGUCUUAGUCAAUUUAAAUCAGAUUUAAUUUGAUUAAAUCUGAUUUUAAUUUGACUUGAAUUGGGUUCCAUUAGUCUAAUGGGAUUGGACUUAAUCCAAUCUAAAUUGGACUCCAAUUUUCACUUGGAUUUGGACUCUAACUAAAAUCUUAACUAACUCCCUUUAAGGAUAAGAGGGGCACCUACCAAAAGAUGGAAGGAGGAGGAGGACCUGGGAUGCGACUCCUGGCCUGGGUCACGCAUCCCACCCUGGGACGUGCGUCCCAAGGUAGUAGGAGGACCUGGGAUGCGAGUCCCAGCCUGGAUCGUGCAUCCCACCCUAGGACACAUGUCCCAAGGCAGC